rnacentral:rRNA from 1 species
AUGAACGCUGGCGGCGUGCCUAAUACAUGCAAGUCGAGCGAACAGACGAGGAGCUUGCUCCUCUGACGUUAGCGGCGGACGGGUGAGUAACACGUGGAUAACCUACCUAUAAGACUGGGAUAACUUCGGGAAACCGGAGCUAAUACCGGAUAAUAUAUUGAACCGCAUGGUUCAAUAGUGAAAGACGGUUUUGCUGUCACUUAUAGAUGGAUCCGCGCCGCAUUAGCUAGUUGGUAAGGUAACGGCUUACCAAGGCAACGAUGCGUAGCCGACCUGAGAGGGUGAUCGGACACACUGGAACUGAGAAACGGUACAGACUCCUACGGGAGGCAGCAGUAGGGAAUCUUCCGAAAUGGGCGAAAGCUUGACGGAGCAACGCCGCGUGAGUGAUGAAGGUCUUCGGAUCGUAAAACUCUGUUAUUAGGGAAGAACAAAUGUGUAAGUAACUAUGCACGUCUUGACGGUACCUAAUCAGAAAGCCACGGCUAACUACGUG